CCAAUAGCGUAUAUUAAAGUUGUUGCAGUUAAAAAGCUCGUAGUUGAAUUUCGGGAUUGGCGCAUCGGUCGUGCCUUACGGGGUAUGAACUGGUGCAGUCAAUUUCUCACCUUCUGGAGAACCGCGAUGUCCUUAAUUGGGUGCCGCGGGGAACCAGGACCUUUACUUUGAAAAAAUUAGAGUGUUUAAAGCAGGCAUUUUUGCUUGAAUACAUUAGCAUGGAAUAAUAAAAUAAGAAGGCAUGGUUCUAUUUUGUUGGUUUCUAGGACCACCGUAAUGAUUAAUAGGGAUAGUUGGGGGCAUUAGUAUUCAAUUGUCAGAGGUGAAAUUCUUGGAUUUAUUGAAGACUAACUACUGCGAAAGCAUUUGCCAAGGAUGUUUUCAUUAAUCAAGAACGAAAGUUAGGGGAUCGAAGACGAUCAGAUACCGUCGUAGUCUUAACCAUAAACUAUGCCGACUAGGAAUCAGACGAUGUUAAUUUUUUAAUGACUCGUUUGGCACCUUACG
rnacentral:misc_RNA from 1 species